UGUGUGUGUGUGUGUAUAUAUAUAUAUAUAUAUUUAAAAAAUUCUUUUGACAGAGUCUCGCUCUAUCACCCAGGUCUCGUCUUGAACUCCUGGCCUCAACUGAUCCAUCCACCUCAGCCUCCCAAAGUGCUGGGAUUACAAGCAUGUGCCACUUCUCCCGGCCUGCAAAAUUAUACUUUGAGAGUGCCUUGGAUACAGAAAUUUAAUUCCUAA
rnacentral:lncRNA from 1 species